GACCGCGUAGCUCAGUUGGCAGAGCAUUGGGCUAGUAUUUCAAAGAUCGUAGGUUCGAUUCCUACCGUGGCCA